GCGCCCUUAAUUCAGUUGGUAGAAUGCAAGUCUCCAAAACUUGUUGCCGAGGGUUCAAAUCCUUCAGGGCGCG
rnacentral:tRNA from 1 species